rnacentral:rRNA from 1 species
GAUGAACGCUGGCGGCGUGCCUAAUACAUGCAAGUCGAGCGAACGGACGAGAAGGUUGCUUCUCUGAUGUUAGAGGCGGAAGGGAGAGUAACAAGUGGAUAAACUACCUAUAAGACUGGGAUAACUACGGGAAACCGGAGCUAAUACCGGAUAAUAUUUUGAACAGCAUGGUUCAAAAGUGAAAGACGGUCUUGCUGCCACUUAUAGAUGGAUCCGCGCUGCAUUAGCUAGUUGGUAAGGUAAAGGCUUACCAAGGCAACGAUGCAUAGCCGACCUGAGAGGAUGAUCGGCCACACUGGGACUGAGACACGGCCCAGACUCCUACGGGAGGCAGCAGUAGGGAAUCUUCCGCAAUGGGCGAAAGCCUGACGGAGCAACGCCGCGUGAGUGAUGAAGGUCUUCGGAUCGUAAAAUGCUGUUGUACGGGAAGAACAUGUGUGUAAGUAUCUGUGCACAUCUUGACGGUACCUAAUCAGAAAGCAACGGCUAACUACGUG